UUUAACCCAGAAUCGCUCCUCUUCUCCAUAUUCUCUAUUGGUGGCUAACAAAUGAGCAGCGAUAUUUCCAGAUCUGAAGAUGAAAUUGAACGUGCAAGAUGAAAAAAGCUCUCAACAAUAAUGUUAUUGAAGCCCAUGUUUGCUGCAAACUCCAACGCGUGAUAUGCUGCCACCGCCUCAGCCAUGGAUGUCGAGCUGGAGUCAAAAUUCACUUUCACUACUGGGUUUAGAGGCGGCUUCCAACGAACUAUCUGAUCAGCUUUGGUAAUCUGAAGAUAACGGUUUACACUUGAGUAUUCAUGACACCGAGCACGAACCGAUGUAAUAAUUUCUCGUUUUUGAAUGUCUUUCCUUGAUGUAUAAAAGUGGUGUGUGCGUACCAUAGCAUCCAUAUAGUCACCGUUAUUUCUACGUGUUUUAUUGGAUUAUUGUUG